GAAAAGCAGGGGAUCGCAAGACCUUGCGCUUUAGGAGCGGCCGAUGUCUGAUUAGCUAGUUGGUGAGGUAAAGGCUUACCAAGGCGUCGAUCAGUAGCUGGUCUGAGAGGACGACCAGCCACACUGGGACUGAGACACGGCCCAGACUCCUACGGGAGGCAGCAGUGGGGAAUUUUGGACAAUGGGGGAAACCCUGAUCCAGCCAUGCCGCGUGAGUGAAGAAGGCCUUCGGGUUGUAAAGCUCUUUCAGCCGGAACGAAACGGUCACGGCUAAUACCUGUGAUCACUGACGGUACCGGAAGAAGAAGCACCGGCUAACUACGUGCCAGCAGCCGCGGUAAUACKUAGGGUGCGAGCGUUAAUCGGRAUUACUGGGCGUAAAGCGUGCGCAGGCGGUUUUGUAAGUCAGAUGUGAAAUCCCCGGGCUUAACCUGGGAACUGCGUUUGAAACUACAAGG
rnacentral:rRNA from 1 species